rnacentral:rRNA from 1 species
UGAGGAAUAUUGGUCAAUGGACGAGAGUCUGAACCAGCCAAGUAGCGUGAAGGAUGACUGCCCUAUGGGUUGUAAACUUCUUUUAUACGGGAAUAAAGUUAGCCACGUGUGGCUUUUUGUAUGUACCGUAUGAAUAAGGAUCGGCUAACUCCGUGCCAGCAGCCGCGGUAAUACGGAGGAUCCGAGCGUUAUCCGGAUUUAUUGGGUUUAAAGGGAGCGUAGGCGGGUUGUUAAGUCAGUUGUGAAAGUUUGCGGCUCAACCGUAAAAUUGCAGUUGAUACUGGCGACCUUGAGUGCAACAGAGGUAGGCGGAAUUCGUGGUGUAGCGGUGAAAUGCUUAGAUAUCACGAAGAACUCCGAUUGCGAAGGCAGCUUACUGGAUUGUAACUGACGCUGAUGCUCGAAAGUGUGGGUAUCAAACAGGAUUAGAUACCCUGGUAGUCCACACAGUAAACGAUGAAUACUCGCUGUUGGCGAUAUACGGUCAGCGGCCAAGCGAAAGCAUUAAGUAUUCCACCUGGGGAGUACGCCGGCAACGGUGAAACUCAAAGGAAUUGACGGGGGCCCGCACAAGCGGAGGAACAUGUGGUUUAAUUCGAUGAUACGCGAGGAACCUUACCCGGGCUUAAAUUGCAACUGACUGAACCGGAAACGGUUCUUUCUUCGGACAGUUGCGAAGGUGCUGCAUGGUUGUCGUCAGCUCGUGCCGUGAGGUGUCGGCUUAAGUGCCAUAACGAGCGCAACCCUUAUCGAUAGUUACUAGCAGGUCAUGCUGAGGACUCUAUUGAGACCGCCGUCGUAAGAUGUGAGGAAGGUGGGGAUGACGUCAAAUCAGCACGGCCCUUACGUCCGGGGCUACACACGUGUUACAAUGGGGGGUACAGAAGGCAGCUACACGGCGACGUGGUGCUAAUCCCGAAAGCCUCUCUCAGUUCGGAUUGAAGUCUGCAACCCGACUUCAUGAAGCUGGAUUCGCUAGUAAUCGCGCAUCAGCCACGGCGCGGUGAAUACGUUCCC